rnacentral:lncRNA from 1 species
UCUGUGCUAAAAUAAUCAUAUUUUUUUCAGAGAAGAUAACUUUUACAGGGGUGACAAGGGUAAGAAGAACAAAAAGAAAUUUACUGGGACAAAGGUGAUACCAAGAAAGUUAAGCCAUCGAAUAUCAAAGGUAGACCAUUAUCUGUGGAUAUUUAUAUUUUCCUUAAGUCAGCACACCAUGCAAUAAUGAGGAUUAAGAUGAAUUUGCAGAUCAAAAAGGUACCCAAAAGAAGCUGGAGAACAUAAAAUGCAGAAAUCGAUGAAAAUGAAAUGAAAGAAUGCGAAGACACUUGAUGUCGGUUUGUAUGAUAAACGAGGGUCAAGAUGAAUUUGCUGAUAAAAAAGAUACCUCGUAUGAAGGACGAGAAAAAGUAGAAUGCAGAAAAAAUGAAAGUAGAGUAGAAGGAAAGGAGAAAGAAAAUAAAAAAUUUAGCGUUGCUAUUCUCAAUCUUACAAAAUUCAAUACCCACAAACCACCGGCAUCAACUUCCACAACCGCACCAAAGAUGCCAAUUGAGUGCGUGGUAUAGAUGAAUCUAUUGGUCUGGAGUCGAAUAUUGAAUUGGCAAAGUUGGUGAUUGAGAAAGAAACGAAGAAUAAGGCAGUGAUGGAGUAGAUGGCAAAGAAGGAUCUAUGGACAAUGUAGCUGGUGCAGGUGGAGGAAGAGUGGGUUCCCAAUGGGCAAGUGAUUGACGGUUUGAGGAGGUGGUAGUGGUGCCAGCGAUUUUCGAUUGCAGCUGACUGUUUACAUUGAAAGAUGGGUUCCCUAGGUUGUAGGGGUGGGGAAGAAGGGCGAUGUUUCCUUUUUUUUUGGGGGGUUUUUUUUAUCUAAUUCUUUUAAAAAUUUUAUAUGAUAAUAUUACAAAGUUACCAUUUUACCCUACCUAUUUUAGUAAAAAAAUGGUCAAAUUUUUAUUUUGAUGGUCAACUGACAGCAUCAUUGAUGGAAACAAUCC